GGCCAGACUCCUACGGGAGGCAGCAGUGAGGAAUAUUGGUCAAUGGGCUUACGCCUGAACCAGCCAAGUCGCGUGAGGGAAGACUGCCCUAUGGGUUGUAAACCUCUUUUGUCAGGGAGCAACGCCGGCUACGUGUAGCCGGACUGAGAGUACCUGAAGAAAAAGCAUCGGCUAACUCCGUGCCAGCAGCCGCGGUAAUACGGAGGAUGCGAGCGUUAUCCGGAUUUAUUGGGUUUAAAGGGUGCGUAGGCGGAAUGCCAAGUCAGCGGUAAAAUUGCGGGGCUCAACCCCGUACUGCCGUUGAAACUGCAUCCCUUGAGUGCGCGAGAAGUAUGCGGAAUGCGUGGUGUAGCGGUGAAAUGCAUAGAUAUCGCGCAGAACUCCGAUUGCGAAGGCAGCAUGCCGGCUCCACACUGACGCUGAGGCACGAAAGCGUGGGUAUCGAACAGGAUUAGAUACCCCAGUAC
rnacentral:rRNA from 1 species